rnacentral:rRNA from 1 species
CCAGACUCCUACGGGAGGCAGCAGUGGGGAAUAUUGCACAAUGGGGGAAACCCUGAUGCAGCGAUGCCGCGUGGAGGAAGAAGGUUUUCGGAUUGUAAACUCCUUUUAUCAGGGACGAUAAUGACGGUACCUGAAGAAAAAGCUCCGGCUAACUACGUGCCAGCAGCCGCGGUAAUACGUAGGUGGCGAGCGUUGUCCGGAAUUACUGGGUGUAAAGGGAGUGUAGGCGGGAAGGCAAGUCAGAAGUGAAAAUUAUGGGCUCAACCCAUAACCUGCUUUUGAAACUGUUUUUCUUGAGUGAAGCAGAGGCAAGCGGAAUUCCUAGUGUAGCGGUGAAAUGCGUAGAUAUUAGGAGGAACACCAGUGGCGAAGGCGGCGUGCUGGGCUUUUACUGACGCUGAGGCACGAAAGCGUGGGUAGCAAACAGGAUUAGAUACCCCGGUACAC